AAGACACUCAACUUCUCCUUAUGAAUAGAAGCACUGAAAUAGGGAGAAAUACGUUUGAUGAUGAUUUAAUUCUUUGAGAUGUACCAGCUUAUAAAGAGAGAGAGAAAAAAAUCAACAACAGAAAUCUCUAGUUCACUUGGACAGAUUUGCAAGGAUCUUUGAAAAUGUGAAGGAAAUGCUUUCUCAAAUCAGUUGUGUCUGUGUGGAGAGUGAAGGUGAUCAGUCUCAUCUUGGGAGGAAUGUAAUUUGGAAAGGUACGAACAGCUGAGAAGGGAUUCUCAUGGGCACAGCGUUUGAACACUAAAGUGGCGGCUAUCUUUCCCACUGCAAUAAAAGGGAAGCUGGUAACA
rnacentral:lncRNA from 1 species